AGUGGGCGGCUCCCUGGGGCUGUGCCCUGGACUGGUGGUCUGGUGGUGCCCAGGCCUCCCAGGGAGAGCAGGGCAGCUGGGGCUGGAGGAGCCCUGGGGCCCAGUACCCACACCUGUGCCCAGCGCCGUCAGGGGGGACCGGGGCACGAGGCUCCUUUGCCCAGGAAGGGAAGCGAAGCCUGGAGACACAGGCCCCAUCCUUCCCAAUGGGGACACUUCAGGGAGCGGCUCUCAGGUCCCGAGAAAGACCUUCCUGGCCACAGGAGACACACGGACAUCGGGAACGGACGGAGGAAGGAUGUGCAGUUGCAGCCUUUUCAGCAGACGCCCUGAGAACGGGAGGUCAAGAGUUGGAGCAGACGACAGGGCCUCAGACCUAAGGCAGGAGCACCCCCUAUGCCAGACCUCCUGGGUCACAGGAUAUGCACGGACAUUGGGAAGGGAUGGAGGAUGGACGGAGGAAGGACGUGCAGUUGCAGCUCUUUCUGCAGAUGCCCUGAGAGAGGAGCAAGAAGGUCCUCGCCAGAUGCUCCUGGACUUGCUUUGGACUUUCCCUUGCUCUUGGACUUGCUCUGGCACCUGUGCUCUUGGACUUCACAGCCUCUAGAACUGUGAGAAAUAAAUUUCCGUUCAGUAUAAA
ensembl:lncRNA FAM30A family with sequence similarity 30 member A